CUCUUUCUUCAUAGGUUCAUAUAGGUUCAUUGCAUGUAUGUAUGUAUGUGUGUGUGUGUGUGUGUGUGUGUGUGUGUGUGUGUGUGUGUGUGUGUGUUAUGCUGAAGUAGUAUACAGACUGAACAGCAAAACACAAUUAUAACCACUGAAUAUACAUAGUUUACGCACACAUUAACAAGGCUAAUAUUGCUUACAGUUAGGCUAUUCAGCUACUACACAACCCAAUCAAUCAAUCAAUCAAAUUUUAUUUAUAUAGCGCCAAUUCACAACUGUCGUCAUCUCAAGACGCUUUUCAAGGAACAAGAGCAGGUCUGGACCACGCUCAUUGUUUGAUGAUCAAGAACCAACCUAAGAUGGGUUUUGGCCCAUCUCAACUAACAUGAGUUACAGUGGCAAGGAAAAACUUACUUUUAACAGGCAGAAACCUUGGGCAGGACCAGCCUCAUGCUAGACAGCCACCAUGCCGCUGCUGGGUUGGGGAGGAAUGUAGAGAGAAGAGGGGAGAGGGGGAGAGGACAGGGGGAGGGAGAGAGACAACAAGAUAGGGGAAAGGCGAGAGAGAAUGAGUAUGGAGAGGGAGGGGGAGGGAGAGAGAGUAGGGAACAAGGGUGAGAGAGAGACAGGAGGCAGCAGGAACAACAGCAACAACAACAACAGCUCAUGUAAUGGUGAAACAAAAAGAAGUUCAGUUUACAGGUUUAGGAUAUGAGUGAUAAUGGACAAUGUUGAAUUAAUUGAGUGCGAUUACAGUUAGCAGGCUUAAUCGUAGUCAGUUCUAUUUUGUAUUAUUAAUGUCAAUAAUGACAGUGAGGCUGAUGUUCAUGUCUGCAGUAACAGUAACAGCAACAGUCCAGAGGAAUCAGAGAGAAGAAGGAGCUCAGGGCCGGGGGGGGGGGGGGGGGGGGAUCUGCGGCAACGGUCCAGAGGAGCCAAAGAGCCAAAGAGUUGGAGGAGCUCAGGGCCCAGGGUGGAUGCAGCUGGGGUCAGGCAGUUCCGCAGCAGACCUGUUUGCAGCAUUAGUCCAGUGGCAGCUAAAAGACUCAGAGACACUCAGAGAGACAGAAAACUGGUUAGUGACUUAUAUGGGACAUAAAGAUCUAAAGAGGAGAUAGAGACAGACUCUAGCUCAGUGUGCCAGAUAGCCCCGGCAGUCUAGGCCUAUAGCAGCAUAACUAAGAGCUGGUUCAAAUCAGCCCUGACUAUAGGCUUUAUCAAAGAGGAACGUUUUAAGUCUACUCUUGAAAGUUGAGAGUGUGUCUGCCCCCUGAACCUCAAGCGGUAAAUGAUUCCAGAGAAGAGGUGCCUGGUAGCUGAAAGCUCUUCCUCCAAUACUACUUUUAGAGACAUUUGGUACAACGAGCAGACCUGCAGACUGUGAGCGUAACGGUCUAGAUGGAAAGUACGGUAUAACUAGCUCGUUGAGAUAUGAUGGCGCCUGGCCAUUAAGCGCUUUAUAUGUCACAAGGAGGAUUUUAAACUCAAUUCUAGAUUUAAUAGGGAGCCAGUGAAGAGAGGCUAAAACAGGAGAGAUGUGCUCCCUUCUUCUAGUUCUAGUCAAUACCCGAGCUGCUGCAUUUUGGACCAGCUGAAGAGUCCUUAAUGACUUACUAGAGCAGCCUGAUAGGAGAGAAUUACAGUAAUCCAGCCUAGAGGUAACAAAGGUAUGGACUAGUUUUUCUGCAUCGCUCUGAGACAAUAUACGUCUAAUUUUUGAGAUAUUGCGCAGGUGGAAAAAGGCUGUCCUGGAAAUUUGUUGAAUGUGGGAGCUAAAAGAUAAAUCCUGAUCAAAUACAACUCCUAGAUUUCGCACAGUGGGGCUGGAUGCCAGGCUGAUACCAUCAAAUGUAGCUAAAUUACUAGAGAAGGCCUCUCUAAGGUGUUUAGGACCGAGGACCAGAACUUCAGUUUUGUCUGAGUUGAGCAUUAGAAAGUUAUUGGUCAUCCAGGAUUUUAUAUCUUUGAGACAGGCUUCUAACCUAGCAACCUGGCCUGCUUCCUCUGGCUUUAUGGAUAGGUAUAGCUGGGUGUCAUCUGCAUAACAGUGGAAAUUAAUCGAGUACUUCCUCAUAAUUUUACCCAGCGGAAUCAUGUACAGGGUGAAUAGGAUUGGACCGAGCACUGAUCCUUGCGGCACACCGUAGCAGACCUUGGUGUGUGCAGAGGAUUCAUUAUUUACAUUGACAAACUGGGAUCGAUCUGUUAGGUACGAUUUAAACCAGGAGAGAGCUGAUCCUGCUAUGCCUACAGAUUGUUCUAGUCUCUGAAGCAGGAUGGAGUGGUCAAUUGUGUCAAAUGCUGCACUAAGAUCUAACAGGACUAGAACAGAGAGAAAACCAUUGUCUGAGGCCAUGAGUAGGUGGUUCUUACAUACAUCUAGUGAUGCUUUUCUUGGACACAUCCUCAGUGAUAGUGCCUGAGCUCAUCGGGGGUUUCGGGUCUUUCAACUUCAGACCCCCUCACUCAGGUGACCCGACCGGGGUGAUCAGUUCCCGGCCCGUGUCCAAGAAGCACUCAACCACUGCUUAUCCCUCUGGAUCCACAGCCAUUGCGAGGCUCUCUCUGCAGCCUCAGAGGCUGUAGAGAUGGCUCUCCUCUUCCGUUCCCCUGUGAUGCCCAGGAGACUGUAGGCCUUGCAGAGUGAUUUCCCUGCAAAGCCUCUUCCCCCCACCUCAAUCGGUAGGCAUCGUGCACGCCACCCCCGUUUGCGGCACUCCUCCACCAGCUCUGCAUAUUUCUCUCUCUUUCUCUCAUUUGCUUCUUCCAUUCUCUCCUCCCACGGCACUGUUAGCUCCAACAUGAUGACUUGCUUGGAUGUCUCUGAGACUAGGACGAUGUCUGGCCUAAGUCUGGUUUCCACAAUGUUUUCAGGGAAUUUCAGUUGUUUUCCCAGGUCCACCCUUAGCUGCCAGUCCUUCGCUGUUCCCAGGAGGCCUGACUGGGCUUUAGGUCGGGGAGGUGGUUGAUCUCCGGCUCUUACAAAGGAGAUUUCACGCCUUGAUGGUUGUAAGCGUUUGCUCUGGAAGAUGGCAGUGUUGAUGGACUCAGCAACCGCCUUCAGCACACGAUCAUGGCGCCAGCGAUAGCGGCCUUCACCAAGUGCUUUAGGACAGCUGCUGAGGAUGUGCUCCAGGGUUCCUCUUCCUUGGCACAAGGGACAUGCUGGAGUUUCAACCUUGCCCCAACAGAAGAGGUUCGAUGGGCUGGGCAGGACAUCAUAGACAGACUGAAUGAGGAAUUUAAUGCGGAGGGGUUCAGCCCUCCACAGCUCGUUCCACGAGAUUUUUCUGUCUGUGGCUUCCUCCCAUCUGGUCCAUGCGCCCUGUUGCCUCAAUCCCACCCACUGGCUUGCACGCUGCUCUUCAAUUCCGGCCCUCACCUCGAGCUGGACCUGGUCCCGCCUCUCCUUGCCCUUGAGCUUGUUGUACCGGGUUGUUGGAAUGGUUCCCAGUCCUGCACGGCCGGCAGCCACCGAUCCCACGAGGUCUCUGUGGCACAGCCGUGAUUCUGCCUGGUCCACAGCCUCCUUCGCUCUCCACUUUCUGCCAGUCCUCACCUCAAUUCCUGCUUGGGAAACCUUUGGGUCCUUGGAUUCCCUGUACUGGAGAACCUCCCUCGCUCUGGCAACCAUGAACUCCUCGGUGAGGCUGUUUAUGGGGAGAGUCAGCUUGUUCUUGUUGCCGUAAAGGGCGAUGCUGCUUAGGCUUCUAGGCAGACCCAACCAUUGUCGCAGGCGGCUGCUGACCCUCCUCUCAAACCCUUCCACAGUGGAGAUGGGAAACUCAUACACCAGCAAUGGCCACAGAAUCCUAGGCAGGAUGCCAUGCUGGUAUACCCACGCCUUGAAUUUCCCCGGAAGACCUGACUUGUCGACUGUGGUCAGCCAACUCUCCAGCUGUUCGUUGGUCGCCCUGAUGGAAGCGGCAUCCUUUAGGGAGCAGUCAAAGGUUUUUCCGAGGCUCUUCACGGGCUUCUCUGUGACUGAUGGAAUGUGGGUACCCCCUAGAGAGAAGUGGAACCGGUCAGUCACCUUCCCUCUCUUCAGGACUAGAGACCUGGAUUUUUCAGGCUUGAAGCGCAUCCGGGCCCAGGUGGUCAGCCUCUCCAAGCCCUGGAGGAUCCAUCUGCAUCCUGGGACUGACACUGUUGUUACUGUCAGGUCGUCCAUAAAUGCUCUGAUGGGGGGCUGACGGAUUCCGGACUUGGAUUUGGGGCCUCUGCACUCCGACUCGGCAGACUUGACCAGCAUGUUCAUGGCCAGGGCAAAGAGUAUCACUGAAAUGGUACAUCCAGUGAUGAUCCCUUUCUCCAGUCGAUGCCGUCCAGAUGUAACUGUGCCGGAGGUGAACCUCAAGUUGAAGCUGUUGUAAUAGUCCAUGAUGAGGACUUUGAUGUUGCCAGGGACAUGGUGCCUCUCCAAUGCCACCUCCACUAGCUUGUGAGGUAUAGAGCCGUACGCAUUGGCUAGGUCUAGCCAUAGUACAGCUAGGUCUCCUUUCCCCUCUCGAGCAUCCCUGAUCAAUUGUGUCACCACGCCACUGUGUUCAAGGCAACCCGGAACCCCUGGGAUUCCCCCUUUUUGCACCGAGGGGUCGAUGUACUGGUUCUUCAGGAGGUAGUCUGACAGCCGGUGGGAAAGAAUACUGAAAAAUAUCUUCCCCUCGACGUUAAGCAGUGAGAUGGUUCUAAACUGCUCGAUGGUGGUUGCCUUCUCUUCCUUUGGUACCCAUACCCCUUCUGCAGAUCUCCAUUGUUGGGCAACUGUCCCCCUCCUCCAGAUCACCCUCAGGAUCUUCCACAGAUGGUGCAGGAGCUUGGGGCAUCUCUUGUACACUAGGUAAGGUACACCAUUGGGUCCAGGUGCCGAGUUGUUUCUAGCAGCCUUGACCACCGUCUGGACUUCUUUCCAGCUGGGAACCUUGGUGUUUAAUUCAGUGGCUGGUACAGGUGGGUUGAUUAGAGCUCUGCAUUCACCUAGGUCCUCCUCCCGGGCUGCAUCACUGUAGGUGUCGUGAAGGUAGGUGUCUACUUCCUCCUUUGAGCAUGUGAGAUGGCCGCUGCGCUUCUGGCCUAGCAGCUGUUUGGUGAACCCAAAAGGAUUCGCUAAGAAUGCAGCGCGUCUUUUGGCUCUCUCUUUAGCCCGCCUUCUAUGCCACUCUGCUCGGCGGAGGGUCAGCAGCCUCCUCCUAAGGACACCACGUAGUUCUGCCAGUCCUGGCUUCUCAUCCUCACUUGCACCCUUGAACUGCUUCUUCAGAUCUCGGAGUUCCUGUCGUAGCUGUGAGAUCUUUUCUGCCCUGCGGUUCUUGUAGUACUGGUUUGUGGUAGCACGCUUCUCCAUUGAUCCGAAUCUUUCAGUGGCGAUGCUGAUGAUCAUGGUAGCCAUUGUUUGGAGUUUCCCGUCUGGCCCUCCUUUCAAGGUAGCUUCCAGGAUUCCAUCCACGUCAUCAUCGAAUUGCUGCCACUCACUCCCUUUGCUGGCUGGGGGCCACUUAACCCGCCGGUGGUGUUGUGGGAUGACUGGCGUUUGGGCUUCCAGGGCACGGAGGUUCUGGGCACUGUGGGUUGACUCCUGGCCCGGGUCCUCCUGCGUCUCACCAAGGACCUCUGGAGCACAUGGGUUCUGGGUGCUGCGGGUUUCUUCCCGCCCCGGUUCCUCCUGCGUCUCUUUGAGGUUGAUCCUUGAGCGCUGCUCUGGCUGCCUAUUCACCAAACAGCCCAUCUUGGUCUGGUGGAUCUUCAGACCCUUUGGGUUUUUGCAGCUCUUUCCGCAUACACAUACAGCAUUCGUUGUCGAUUGUCCGUUUGCGUUGGUCGUUGCCUGGUUGUCCGUCCGUUCGGGGUGCUCAUUCUCCCCCCCUCUCGGGCUCCCCUGGGGGUAUGUUUCUUUAGGGCUUUUUUUAGGUCAUUUGACACCUUUAGCAGAGCAGUCUCUGUGCUGUGAUGGGUUCUAAACCCAGACUGGAAAUCCUCUAAUAAACCGUUGUUAUGGAGAAAAUCACAGAGUUGAUUCGCAACAACUUUCUCUAGGAUUUUAGAAAUAAAAGGAAGGUUGGAUAUUGGUCUAUAGUUAGCUAGGGAGCUUGAGUCCAGAGUAGGUUUUUUAAGGAGAGGCUUAAUCAAUGCAGUCUUGAAAGACUGGGGAACAUAUCCUGUUAAUAAAGACGUGUUAAUCAAUUUGAGCAGGGACGUACUAGGGACGUAACCCAGACAUUAGAAAAGGCUUGAAGUUGAGGGUGCUGCAAUUAGAGGUGCAAUUUUUUAAAUUCUCAUUUACACUUGAUAGACUAUAAUGCAUGUUCUAUUUUUUGUGUGACUACAAGCCUUUAAGUAAGCCCAAACAUUCAAUUUAUAACUUUACAGAUUGAUAUAAUAUGAUACUGUAUGUACAAAAUGUCCAGUUUGCACCCACCAGACCCCAUACAGGCGAGAACAUACAAGCCAAAUGUGAUGAAUCAGGUCUAAAAGGCUGCAACUCACAGUGAACUGAACUUCUCCAAAUAUGCCCACCUUAGAGGCUUACACAUGCGGAGUCCAGGCAUCAGAUAUAUUCAUCACACCAGUCAGCAAAUUUCUGACAACCAGAUAAAAAAAAAGUAGGACAGUUUUACAAGUAUUUUGCACAGCACAGCAGAGUAGACUACAAAUAGCAGAGACAUUAUGGAACAGGUCUGUGUACAUACCUCAAUAGAGGCAAUAUUUAAAACAGCUCACAACAGCUAAAUAUAUCAGAUGCUUGGUGACAGGCCUACAUAAUGUCUGUUGAUCAUAAUCCCAGCCUCAUUUCAAUAUUGUGAAUUUAUUUAAAAUUGUUAUGAUAAUUUAUCCAAUCUCUCUAAAGUAUUCAGCUUCAAGUUUAUGAUAGAGAGGGUAUUUUAAGAGGUGUUUUUAUUUAUUUUUCAUCUAUAAUUCAGGGUAUGUUUAGAAAGAUGUCUGCCUUUACGCAGAAUGACGCUGUUCUGCUGCAGCACAAAAUCAACACAGCAAACUCACAUUUAGCUCACACACAAUUCCAACACAUAAAUACACACUAGCAGCUGUGUCACUGUGUAUGUUGUCAUCUUCAGCACAGCAAGUGUAUUACGACUUAGAGCAAACAUGAGAUUGAAAUCUUUUUUUUUUUUUUCUCUCUGACCUGAAACUGGACUAGACCACAGAAACUGGACUGAACCUUCAUCUUUCUGUUGGCCAAAAGAUGAAGUCCAGCUCUAUUUGAGGAUCUCAGGAACAAUACUCUACCAAAUGUGUCUCUGUGAGCAGUCUGUUGUUGUCCUCAUGUCUGUCUAUCUUUUUUUCCAUGACCACCAAAGGUCAGGACCAGAAACUCCGCCAUUAAUCUUUUCUUCCAGUUUUUGUUCAGAAAGUAGCAAGCUUUUUGCUGUUUCACAAACUUAACAACCUCACCUUCAGUCUUGACUUCCAGUCAAGCGUUUCUGUGUUAGGAAUGAACUUUGCUGGCUCUUUAAAGGAUUACCUUUUCAGUGUUUUCACAUCAUCACAGAUAGAAAACCCCAGGAAAAAAGGAGUCCACUUCUCCUGGCUGGGUCUUGGUGUUACAUCUAGUUAUGAUCCAUAGUAAAGAAAUUGGGUAGGUAGAGUAAUUAUUUGUUGUAAUAUAGCUUCUUGCCUAAAAAGUCUCACAAAUAGAUGUUUCCCUGUAAAUUUAUUCUGUAUAAACCAUCAAUUAAAAGACAUCAAUCCCACUUAAGGGUCAAAUGAAGCUGUUUAAUUUUCAGCAAGCACUCAUACUAAUUUCUGUCUUAUUUCAAUACUAAGAAUGCACUUCUAAUUUAUAUUCCUACUUUCGAAAAAAGCUCUUGCAGUUUAUGUCAUACACAGUUCGAUAAGUUGAGAUGCAUGGAUGUGAAAUAACCACCAGAGGGCAGUGAUUGGGUGUAGAAAAUAUUGCAGGCCUUCUCUCAAAAACUGCCCAGCUUUCAAGUAACAGCAGCUUAAUGUCAGAGAUCUGCAAGUUUAAUAAAACAAAGCUUUUGAAUAUAUAUAUAUAUUUUUAAAUCAGCAACAGUCAUAGAUUUCACACAUUUAAAUAAUUGUAUUUCACUUUUUAAAAUUGGAACUUAGGUUUUGAAAAAUUGGUAUACAGUCUAUGGUUAAUACAUUGAGCUCAUUCUUCCAUAUAUUAAUAGGCCUAUAAAUUUUAUUCUUCAGAUAUUGACAUCUGUGACUAAAAUAUUCCCAAACAGAAUUAAAUUAUCAAUCUGUUAUUUCUUCCAUCAUAAAUACUAAAAUCUAAAUCUGCAUCACAUUGAAAAGAUUUGAUCGAAACAUGUAUGAAAAAAAAGAGCGUAGUACAAAUUCACAUUGGAGUAAAAUGUGCUCUACACACUCAUCCCUCCUACAAAAUUUAGCUCAUGCUAUUGCUUGUACAAAUGGGUUUCAAUCAACAUGCUCAAAAUCCACAAAUGACAAUCUCAAGCUGAGAAGUUAUAAAACUCACAGCAGAUUAGUAACAACACCGUAACACUGAGUUAGACACCCCCUCGAGAGAUGAAUGUUGCUGACCGCUUGCUUCUCUUGUUAUACCAACUUAAGUAACGACCACACAAUAGGAAUAAACAGCGGUCUGAGGAGCCACACACACAAACCUCAACCAAGAAGUCACUCUAUAGCC